UACGUAGGGGGCGGGCGUGUCCGGAUUUAUUGGGCGUAAAGAGCUCGUAGGCGGCUUGGCAAGUCGGGUGUGAAACCUCCAGGCUCAACCUGGAGACGCCACUCGAUACUGCUAUGGCUAGAGUCCGGUAGGGGACCACGGAAUUCCUGGUGUAGCGGUGAAAUGCGCAGAUAUCAGGAGGAACACCGGUGGCGAAGGCGGUGGUCUGGGCCGGCACUGACGCUGAGGAGCGAAAGCGUGGGUAGCAAACAGG
rnacentral:rRNA from 1 species